AUUGAACGCUGGCGGCAUGCCUUACACAUGCAAGUCGAACGGCAGCACGGGUGCUUGCACCUGGUGGCGAGUGGCGAACGGGUGAGUAAUACAUCGGAACAUGUCCUGUAGUGGGGGAUAGCCCGGCGAAAGCCGGAUUAAUACCGCAUACGAUCUACGGAUGAAAGCGGGGGACCUUCGGGCCUCGCGCUAUAGGGUUGGCCGAUGGCUGAUUAGCUAGUUGGUGGGGUAAAGGCCUACCAAGGCGACGAUCAGUAGCUGGUCUGAGAGGACGACCAGCCACACUGGGACUGAGACACGGCCCAGACUCCUACGGGAGGCAGCAGUGGGGAAUUUUGGACGAUGGGCGAAAGCCUGAUCCAGCAAUGCCGCGUGUGUGAAGAAGGCCUUCGGGUUGUAGAGCACUUUUGUCCGGAAAGAAAUCCUUGGCCCUAAUACGGUCGGGGGAUGACGGUACCGGAAGAAUAAGCACCGGCUAACUACGUG
rnacentral:rRNA from 1 species